CCUACGGGAGGCAGCAGUGGGGAAUAUUGGUCAAUGGGCGCAAGCCUGACCCAGCAACGCCGCGUGCAGGAAGAAGGCUUUCGGGUUGUAAACUUCUUUUAAGAGGGAAGAGCAGAAGACGGUACCUCUUGAAUAAGCCACGGCUAACUACGUGCCAGCAGCCGCGGUAAUACGUAGGUGGCAAGCGUUGUCCGGAUUUACUGGGUGUAAAGGGCGUGUAGCCGGGCUGACAAGUCAGAUGUGAAAUUCCGGGGCUCAACCCCGGCCCUGCAGUUGAAACUGUUGGUCUUGAGUAUGGGGGAGGCAGGCGGAAUUCCUAGUGUAGCGGUGAAAUGCGUAGAUAUUAGGAGGAACACCAGUGGCGAAGGCGGCAUGCUGGACGACAACUGACGCUGAGGCGCGAAAGCGUGGGUAGCAAACAGGAUUAGAUACCCCUGUAGUC
rnacentral:rRNA from 1 species